UCAGAGACCCUUCCCAAAGAGGGACCUGGGA
rnacentral:piRNA from 1 species